AUUAGCUGCAAAUUUUGAAAGUUUCCUUUUCUGGGCAUAGAGUAGCGCAAGCAUGCAUCUUGAACAUUUAUCAGAGGCUUUGUGAACCUGGAAAGUACCCUGUUUUUCUAGGGAAGAACAUGUAUGAGAUGGAACAACGAGUGUUACUAAUUAAUUUCCUGUUACUUGAAAGAUAUCUUAGUGUGCUUCCAUUUCUAUUCGUACUAUUAAAUCUUUGCCUAUAAACUCAUUAUAUAUCUGGUGUUGGUUUAUAGCUCGCAAUGGCAUUAGGUUGACAAGGUAAACUGAUAGCGUAAUAGGCUUUCCAAUUUUAUCAAAUUGAUGGAGAUGUUGAAUGCUCAUUGAGGCCAAAUGUUAGUAAUUAUCCGAACAACAUGUUCGUAGCUUUUGUAGAUUCAUUAAUUCUUUUGGUCUCUCUAAAGAGUCAUAUGGAUCUAUGUCUAGUUGCCUCAAAGAUAUUAUAACUUGUAUCAUCACCCUUACUUUCAAAGGCUUCUUCUAAUUUAUGGUCACUAGUUCUGCUAGUCCUGCACGGGGUCAAUGGAUCAGCUCUGUUAUUUACAUGAUCUAUGUGUUGAUGAAACAUGUAGAUAGCAAUUGCGCACAACUGUAGAUAGAAAUUUCUGUCGGGAAUGUAAUUAGCUGUUGUGUUCUUGCUCGUGUAAUUUGUACAGUCGAUUAAUUGAAGACCAACCUUUUUCCAAAUGCAGUGCAGCCUGAUGUCUGAGUGGCUUGUCAAAUGUUGCAAUGUUAUAAAGCUUUAUUUGAAAAAUGAUUAUACCCAGUGAAGACAGCCUCAAAGAUUUCCGAGUCAAAUGCGCCAUGUUGCUAUGAAAAUAAUUUCAUUUACCACACCCAUUGAAAUAUUGACAAGUAUAUGUAUUUUGCAUCAAAAGAAGAAUUGGGCUCAUGUUAGGUUGAUAUGAACUUUAAUAAACCUUAAUAAGAAGACAGCCGAAGGUAGUCAAGAUGAUAUCAAACAGCGUAUAAAAGCCAGCUGUCUUAAAAAAUUAUUUUAAUCCAAUAAUUUAAGUUGUUAGUUAACUUAAUAGCUUAAGCUUGUAGAAAUUUAUAUUAUUUUAUAUUUAAUUUUUAUCAAAUAAAUAAAAAUAAUAAAAUUUAAACUCGUAAUCACUUUAUUAUCAAGCAUCUGAUAUCAUAUUAAAGAACCAUUAUAAUUUAAUAAUUUAAAUUAUUAGAUAAAAUUUCAAGAUAUAAUUUAUAUUAUUACAUAACAAGCAGGAAAUAACUUCAGAUUUGGUAUAUUCAUGCUCAAUCGAUUUUGUAACAACAAAACAUUUUAUAGAUUCCGACCAACCUAAAACGAUGAUAUGGCUAUAUAUUACUAAUUUACUAGUCCAACACAAACCUCUAUUGCUCAUGUCAAUCCAAUUAUAACCUCAAUUAAUAUCAUCUAGUCUUUAUUUCACUUGUGAUUAUGGUUUUUUUAGUCAAAUGAUUAUAGCUGUUAAACUCUACCUGGUUAAAAUUCAAGACAUAGAUUAGGACUGGGUGUUUUUUUAAUUGAAUGUUAUCACGGAUAAAUCAUUUCAAUGAAUUCGGAAGUUUAGUGACCUGUUGGAACUAAUCGGAUCAAUAAAUAAAUAAAAACAACAUUAUUUUAAUGAAAAAAUUGACCCGAGGGUGGAUUAUCAGAUUAUCGCAACGAGAAUCAGAAGACUAACAGCAUCUCAUCACCCAGAUGUGAAGUAUCAGAUUAUCGCAACGAGAAUCAGAAGACUAUUUUUGUAAAGACUUUAAUGUCAUAGAAAUAUGCAUGUGGUAGGGCCCGAGGAUUUUGUCUUCUUCUUUGUUUCGUAGGCGCCCACCAUUCUGAUCACCAUCACCUUGACCAUAGCGCCAUUGUAAGCCAAUAAAGAAAUGAACCGCACGAGGGCCGUUUUUAUAGUUUUGUGAUCGAAGCAACAAGCCUCCUCAUCACCAAUUAAUGCUCUAUGAUAAUAUCAAUAUAUUCUACGUCGAUAGGUAGUCGAGGAUUCAGGUAAUUUAUAAACCCUAGCUAUUAUCUCUCUAUUUCAAGAGGUGUAUAUAUUUUCAAGAUCAAACCCCCACUUUGAUAUCAUAAUUUUAAACGUGAAAUAAUACCUCUUAUAUAUAGAGGCAAUCUGGCAACGGAUUUAAGCCAACAUCGUUACUUUCUUUCGUCAAGAUGCCGAAUAUGCAGAACAAUUCACAUUUCAUAUGCAAGAGCGCGAUCACAUAUACCACAUUACUACUACUGCGUACCCUUGCAUGAGAAGUGGCCUUGCGAGCUACUUAUUGCGUUAUUCAGAGAUCAGUAAUUCCAUAUUAUUGAAAGAAAGGUGCAAAAGGAGCAUCUUGAGAGACCUUAGCAGAUGGGAUGGCUUUUCAAAGUUAAACAUACUAAUUGCAGAAGCAGCACACAUAUAUGAGAAUUCAAGAAACUUGAAACUCACCCAACUUAGCAAUCUAACAUGUCCCCCUAAGCGGGAAACAUGGCUCCAUUUCAUUCACUACUGGAUGUACAGAAUAAGCCACCCAUUAAUUAAUAACAACCAACGUGUAGUUUAGUAGAGUAGAAUUACGACUGAGGAAACUUAGUAGAGUAGAUAAAAUUACGACUGAGGAGAAGAAAACGCAAAAGUACAGAAAGGGACUCGAUGCAAGCCAGUGCAUGAAACCGACACUAUUAUUUGAUAGCUUGACUUACAGAGCUAUUAAUUAGGGAAAUGGACGAGAUCCGUGCGUAGCCAAAUGUAGCACCAAAGAUCUUGAUUGCCUUUUCAGCACGAACCUUGUAAGAGAUUGUUGCAGUAGCUCGGUUCAUAUGUUUAGUAAACCUGACCUUGUCACCAACUUGUAGCUUCUUGCUCUUAACGAAUGCAACCCAACCCCUUGUGAGGACCGGCUUCGGGUGUCCUCUCUUGCGGAUGUAGCAUUGAAAGGUCCAAGCUUCGCCUUUCUCGUCUGUAGCUUCAAAGGUGACGGCAUGGCUGCCUAGUUUGAAAGGUGGAAGAGAACUGAGAAACCUGAUAGGAACUGACAGCCUCUUCUUAGUAUCAGUCUUUCUGAGGAUCUUGGAGAACUCUGCCAUUUUCUAGGACAAGCAAAAACGAAGCAAUGCUUAUUUAUAAGGAGCCACCAUCUACUUACCUCCACUUCAAUUAAAGUAAGGGUAGCUACGUAAGAAACUAUCAUGAUUUAUCCACCGCACGAUAUCGCGCGAUAUCGUGCGAUAGCGCAUGUAUAUAUAUAUUAAUCGUGCGAUCUCGGUACAUGGCAAGGACAAAAAAACAAUGCUGGUAGUGACACUCAAGAAUGUUAUAUGCAGUGAUAUUAAACCCGGUCCGGUCUGGUGGGUUAAUCUAGAACCCGGUCGAUCCAGUGACUAGACUAAUCUGGGUUUAGUAAAAGACCGGCUAUAACAACAGCCCGGUCAAACUCGUGUGACUCGCGGAUCAACCUAUGACCCAAGUGAACCCGGACGAGACCCGGUUAUUUUUUUUUUCAAAUGUGGGAUUUGAAACCUAUUAGUAUAAAUACUCUAUGUUUCUAAGAAAAAAAUCAUAUUUUUUCAAUGUGGAUAAAAAAAUUUUUUGGUUUAAACACUUCAACUUAAAAGGAUAACACCUUUCGAAUAUAUAUUCUAUGUUCCCAAGAAAAAAAAUCAUGAUUUUUUAAUAUAGGAUAAAAAAUAUUUUGGUUUAAAUACUUUAACUUAAAAUGAUAACAUAAUAUCUUUUCAAUGUGGGAUUUGAAGCUCUUUCGUAUAUAUACUCUAUGUUCCUAUGAAAAAAGUUAUGUUUUUUCAAUAUGAGAUUUGAAACCCAUUAGUAUAUAUAUUUUAUAUUCUCAAGAAAAAAAUCAUGUUUUUUUAAUGUGGGAUAAACAAAUUUUUAGUUUAAGUACUUCAACUUAAAAGGAUAAUAUAAUAUCUUUUCAAUGUGGAAUUUGAAGUCCUUUUAUAUAUAUACUUUAUGUUCCCAUGAAAGAAGUUAUGUUUUUUCAAUGUGAGAUAAAAAAAAAAAUUAGUUUAAAUACUUCAGCUUAAAAGUUUAACAUAAUAUUUUGUUAAUGUGAGAUAAAUUUUUUUAAAAAAUAUUCUUUUAAACUUCAUUGUUUACAAUAUGUAUAACCUAUAUUUACAUGCAUUUUCUUAUAUGAAAUAUUAUAUAUUUAUUUAUUUAUUAUUUUUUUCAAGUUAACCUGGGUUGAUCUAUUAUACCCGGGACCCAACCCCUUAGCUUGGUUAAGGUUUAAUAAUAGAUCAGGUUUAAUAACUAUGGAAACUAUAUAUAUAUAUUCAAUCAAGAAAAAUCAAAAGAAGAAUGAUAUAUAUAGACACACACUUAAAAAAAAAAAAAAAAAGUCUCAGAUCAAAAGAAGAAUGAUAUACAUAUAUAUUGUAAGGUAAGAAAAAAAGAAAAAAUAAACCCGCGUCUAGUGCUAGCUCCAAGUGAAGCAAUCCCUGCGUUGUCAAGAUUCUGAAGUCUGAAUUGAUGUGACCAUUAAAUAAAAAAAAAACAAUAAUAAAACAUGGAAUUUUAACCAAAAAUCAAUUACGCAAUUUACUUCAUGAGGUUUCUCCCAAUGGUGUCUUGAGUAUUGAAGAUAUGUUGUGAUAGCUUUUUUUUUUUAAUUACAAAGAAAAAGAUUAUUUGAUUAGGUUAAUAGUUUUUUUUUAUACUAUUACUAAAAUUAUGUUUCAAAUUUUAAUUUUAUAAAAUUUAGAAUAAUUUUUAUUUAUUUAUUUUAUAUACAAAAAUUCAUCUUACAGUAAUUAUAUAUAUACUGUCACAACUAUUUUUUUUUAAAAAAACUACAACCCAUAUCAUUAUUGGUCUUUUAACACAUAACUUUCAUAUGCAUAACUAGUACAUAGUUUAAUGAUAAAAAUUUAAAUGGAUUGCCAUUUCUUGAGCUAAUAGAUGUUAAACGGGUCGAGUCAAUUUUUGCUUUUUAUAUAGAAAAGCAAGUGAAAUGUUGUUGUUUAUGUAAUUAAGUUACAUAAAAUGUUUUGAUUUUAUAAAGUUAUUCGAUACGGUGAUAAAUCAGUAUGUUAUUUAUCUAAAAACCAUGUUCAAAUUAAGGAAAUAAAGGUAAGGUGAUAUCCUAAUGUCAUUAAGUAUAGCUAAGUACUGAGCUUAAAUAUAUAUGAGUUUAUGAGUUUGGUAAAUUACUAGAUCCAGUAUUUUUAAAUUUAAUCAAGCAUUUAGUUUAAGCAUGUAUAAGUCUGGCGAGCUACCAGACCCAACAUCUUUUUGUGCUUAUGUAUAGAUGGGUCUGAUAAGCUACCUGACCCGGUAUUUUUGGGUUCAACCAAGCACUAAACCUAAAUAUAUACGUCGGUGUGGUGAGCUACCAGACUUAGCAUUUUUUGGUUUAGUCAAGUAUUGAGUCCAAAUAUAUAUUAUUCUAGUAAGCUACUAGACCCAACAUCCUUUUGAGCCUAAAUAUAGAUGAGUCUGGCUAGCUACUUAACUCAAUAUCCUUAGGCUUAGCCAAGUGUUGAGCGCAAACAUGUAUAAAUCAGUCUAGAAAGCUAUCAGACUCAAUAUCUUUGGGUUCAACCAAGUGUUGUGCCCAAACAUACAUGGAUUUGACGAACUACAAGAUUCAACAUCAUUAGAACCAGCCAAGCAUUGAACCUAAAUACAUGUGGCUCUAAUAAUCUUAUCAUGCUCCAUAUUGAACCACAAGAUUUGAUGAGUCAAAGAUCUUUUUCCUUGUGUUAAGUCAGAUCUUUUUUCUGUGAUGAGUUAGAGAUUUGUUUUUCCUUUUGAAUACAUAAAAGAUAUUUUAAUACUAUCAGAAAAAAAAAGGGAUUUUGGGGCCUUCCCCUCGAUAAAAAAAAAGAAAAAAAAGAAUCAUGAACUAUAUAAAAGCUUAUUGAAUUUUUAGAAGAAAAGAAUCAAUCUUUUCAAAUUGAUAUAAUUUUUAGCAUAUAUAUUUUCAGAUUCUAUCUCUCUAAUAGAUAUUGGUAUUUUCUCUAAAAAAAAAGAUAUUUAAGCAUCAAAGAGUCGCUAAAUUUACAAAAGGAGACCUAUUAUAGGUAUCAAUCAUCAGCCACUUUGGCUUACCAAGCACUAGGUAUCGGCUAUUAACCAUAUUGGCUGACAAAUAAUCAACUCGAUAGAAUCAAGAAAUUAACUGAUUAUUCAACACAUGAAUCAUAUUUCGAAGCAACCCUUGUUAAUUGACGCUACCAAUGAAAACUAAUAAAAAACCAUUGACUAUUCUUCAAAAACUAGUUUAUUAACUAGAUGCCAUGCCUGCGCGAUGUCGCGGGCUUGUGGCAUGCUUAUGCGUUGUCGUGGGUUUGUGGAAAAAACAAUAAAAAAAUUAUUCGGAGAAAAAAUGUUGCAAUCCAUAAUAUUUUCAAGGAAAAAACUACAAAGCUAAAUUCAUAACUAGAUUAAUAUUUAAAAAAUAAAAUGAACAAAGAAAAUUUUGAAAAAAAUCAUAAAAAAAAACUCAAAGGAAAAAAAAACUAUGCAGGGAAAUACUGUAGCAAUCUAUAGUGUUUCAUGAGAAAAUCUACAGUUAUAAUUCUUAACCAGCUCAAUAUUAAAAAUAAUAAAAUCGAUAAAGACAAUUUUGAAAAAAAUCAUAACAAAAAAAAUCAUGUAGGGGAACAUUGUAGCAAUCUACAAUGUUUUAAAGAAAAAAACUACGAAGCUAAAUUCUCUACCAGCUCAAUAUGAAAAAAAUAAAAUUGAUAAAGACAAUUAUGGAAAAAAAACAAAAAAAAAACCAUAUAGGAAAACAAUGUAGCAAUCCACAGUGUUUUAAAGAUAAAAAACUACAAAGCUAAAUUUUCAACCAGCUCCAUAUUAAAAAAAAAAAUCAACAAAAACAAUUCUAAAAAAAAAACUCAAAAAUAUGAAAGAAAAAGAAGAUAAUUUUGAAAAAAAAAACAUGUAAAAAAAUUUACAGUUGUAAUUCUUAAUCAGCUCAAUAUUUAAAAAAAAAUCGACAAAGAUAAUUUUGAAAAAAAAAAACAUGCAAGGAAACACUGUAGUAAAACAAAAACCAUGUGAGGAAAUAUUGUAACAAUCCACGAUGUUUUAAAGAAGAAAAACUAUGACGCAAAAUCGACAAAGAUCAUUUUGAAAGAAAAAAAAAGAUGAAAAAAAUUCAUAAAAAAAGUCAUGUAAGGAAACAUUGUAGUAAUCCAUAAUGUUUUAAAAAACAAAACUAUAGAGUUAAAUUUUCAACCAGUUUAAUAUUAAAAAAAUUAACAAAGAUAAUUUAAAAAAAAACACAAAAACAAAAAAGAAUAAAAAAGAAAAGAAGAAGAUAAUCUUGGGGAAAAAAAACAUGCAAAGCCCAAAAAAGGAAAAAAAAUGUGGGAGAAAAAACAAAACAAACAAACAAACAAACAAAAAACAAAAAAAUGAAAAAAAAGAAGUAUGUGGUAUGAAAAAAGCUAUAGUAUUUUCCUAACACCUUUUAAAAUAUUAGUUAAUAUCUCUAAUUGCAAUUAAAGAUAAAAAAAAAAUACAAACUAAAACACCCCCCAAGGAGGACAUACGAUAGGCCUUUCUACAGUUAUUGAUAUAUCUGUUAUGUCAGAACUCCAAAAACUCUUGGAAGAGAGUAACUACCACCCAAGGUUGUUAAAAUCGCGAGUUGACUCUUAAAAUCUUAUGAUUUUACGAGUUAACAUGUAUAAAACGUGUCAAAUCGGGUUAAAACUCGAAAUCGGUUAAACUCGGUCAAAAUCCGUCAAACUCGGUUAAAAUUGGUAAAAUCGGACCGAUUUUACGAGUUUGACCGUGUUUGAUCGAUUUCAAGUUUUAACUCGCAAAAGUUAAAAAAUUUACUACCUUCCUAUCCGAGUCCCCUAACACUCCACUACAUAGUCCCCACUCCUCAGUCUUCCCUUUCCCCGUUGCCCUAAAUCUCAAAUUUUCAAUCUUAGUAGACUAACACCAGCAUUAGAGGAUCUUGGAUAUGGGAAAGCUUUAUACUGUAUUUUAGGUUGGGAAGGCAUGAUCGGAGAAUCGAAACCAUGGGAAGAUAGAGGUAGAUGGCGAUGAAUUAAAAGAGUAAAUAAGAGAUAUGAAUACUUAUAUAAAGAGAAAUAUUGUGUUUUAGACUAACCAUUUGUUAACUUUAAAGAGAGACGACAAAGACUCAAAGAGAACUUAAAAUACAUGUCUUGCUUGGUGGGAUAUUUGGACAUUAUUUAUAGGAAUUGUUACUAACAUAAAAAAAAAUGGAAGGUGAGGUGGCAUUGUUCAAUCUUUUUUUUUCUUUUUGUAUUUUUAAGUUAUUUAAACCAUAAAUAAAAUUUUAUUUGAAUUAUAUAUUUCAAGGUAUUUGGAUACUUGUAUUAUUUAUUUUAUUUUUAUUUUAAUUAUGUUAUAUUAUAAUUUAUUGUUUGACUGAAAUUGUCAAUAUAUAAUUAGUUAAAAUAUUUUUUUGUGAUUUUACGAUUCGAGUUUACGAUCCGAGUUUAUAUUGUAUAUUUCGUGUCGUGUCAAAAAAACAUUUUUGAGAACCUUGCUACCACCCUUAUAAAACACUUAUCAAAAAGUCAUUUCGAUUAGGGCAUCAAAACGUAACUCUUUUCUAAUUAUCGCCAUAGUUUAUUUCAAUACAAAGGCUAACCAUGAACCAGUUCUUAACCGUACACAUGGCUGGAUAAAAGAUCAAAGAGGUAAGAAAAUCCAAUUAACUAGCAUAAAGCUUUUGGGUUGUUGACUUCCCCUAGCCCAUAAAAUCUCCACCAGAUCUGUUCUUCAAUUGGAAAAAGAGAAAUCAAUUUAGGGUUUUCUUAGGAGAGAGAAAUUAUGUUUGAAGCGAGAUUUGUAGUGUUUGUAUUAUAUUAUACACGAGGAAAAAUUUAUAUUUUCAUUUAAAUUUUAAAAUUAUAUUUACCUAGAAUUAUAAUUAUAAAUAAAAACUGGAGUAAAAAAUAUGGAUAAUGAGAAUAAUUUUUUCAUUAAUUUAUAUAUAUAUUUAUGUAUAUAUAUAUAUAUAUUUAAUAGAGUUAAUAUAACUAAAAAGUUAAUUCAAUCUCGAGUAAAAUUAAAAAAAGAGUCGAGCUAUAAAUUACGAAUUUUUCAAAUUGAAUUCAUCAGACACAGGGGCGGAGCUGGGAUUAGUUAAUAGAGAGAGCCAAAAUUCAAAAUAUAAUUUAUUAUUAGAAAAUUUAUCUAUUUAAAAUAAAAAAAUACUAUAUUAUUAUAUAUAUAAACACUAAAUAAUAAUAAAAAACAAAUCUAAAAUAUUUUGCAGGCCCAGGCCUGCUUGCCGGCCCCCGGUUCGGCCCCUGAAUUUAGACAUUACCGGUUUAACAACUUGAGCAUAACAAUCUAUAAUAAUAUAAUUAUUUUUUUUAGCUCCAAAACAAAAACGUUGGAAACAACGAAAAGUGACGUGGCAGAGAUAGGAGUGUGCAACGUACGCAAAACACAAAAAAUAGCGGGAGGUGAAAAGUAGGAGGGAUUCGGAAAAACAGAAGUUGACACUAGCCAAGCCCAGGGCUCCGGAUUCCUGCACGCCUCUCUCACUCUCUUCUCUGUUUCUUCACACUUUCCUCUCCAUCCUUCUGCUAACUAACUCCUCUCUGAAUUAAAAAAAAUAAAAAUUCUUAGAGUUGUAACGGAUUGAUCAAUCUCCGGCGGCGACGGCGGCAAUAAAUGGAGUCGGAUUCUGCUCCUUUUCUGAUAAUUUGUCAAAGAUGAAACUGAUUAAACGACGUAGUAAUGGUAUUAUCAUCGGUGCGAGAAGCAGUUCUUCUAGGAGAGAAGUAGGGACAGUGCUGGGGUGUUUGUCGCCGAGUAAGGCCGUGGCUCCGUUGGAAUCGGAAGGAGAUGUGUGAUUGAGGAGCAGGAGGAUAAAAUGUUAUGAGGUUCAAGAUGUCUGAUAUUUAAGGUGCUUGAUCGUGUCAGUAAUUGGCCUUGGUGGCCGGGUAAGCCAGAAAACUCUACUUCAAUUUUGUUUUAAUCUUUAUCUGUUAAAUAUUGUUAAUUUCGUUGUGAUUUUCGGUCAUUAACACUAAGGAUAGUGUUUAAUGUCCAAAAGUGAUUGUUCUUAGCACUGCUAAUUAUGCCAUGGAUAACUGAAUUGGGGUUUUUCUAGGCGGAUGAGGUGGUUUUUGAAGCAAUAGUGAAGGAUUCUAAUAGGUUAGCUUUCUUUUCUUAUUUGAUUUUUUGAUAUUGUGUGAUUAUUGGAGGUGAUGAGUAUAAUGUGGAAUUGCAGCCCUUUGUAUAACAUUAAAGUUGUGCUUAGGAAACUUGUCAGUACUCAAGCAAAACGUAGAGGAAUGCGAGCAAUAGAGGUUUGGGCUUUGUUUUGGAGUUUUGUUUAUUUGGUAUUUGAGGUUUUGAAUAUUGGUGUAACUUUGGUGUUGUUAAAGUGUUUUUAGGUGUUGAAGAAGCUGGUUCGCCGUAAACUUAUGUACCAUUCUUAUUCGAUGCAAUUUCAUGGUUAUAUUUCUUCACCUUCUAGUGGCCGUGGUUCGUUUACUCUGGCACAUUGGGGUAUGUUCUGUUUCUGUGUAAGGUUUUGAUAUUGCGUGUGCAUUAAAUGUUUCGUUGUGUGAAGCCAUGUAGUUAUUUAUGCUAGGCAGGUUAGUCUUUCUAGGACACCCCUGUUGGAGAUUUUCUGUUUUUAUUGGACAAACCUUCAUUUCUCUGCAUGUUGCGUGUGGAUGCAGUUCUUCCCAUGUUUCAAUUUUUCCAUUUGUGAGUUUAGGGAUGUGAAAGUUUACGUCUUCCUUUUUAUUUUAUGGCAGUAUCAUGGUAGUUUUUCUUUGAGACAUUGGCUUCAACAAUCAGAUUGGCUUCCUACCUUGGAAGCCAAUCUUGCAUUGGAUGAGGAAUCUGUCAGGAGGGUGGGAGAUGACACGGUUGGAGGACCUGCUGUCUCUCGGCAGUUGCGAAUAACAUGCAUAUUGAUGAGGGAUCUAUUGAUUGGUAAUUGUAUUAUCUGUGCACAAAUAGUUGCCAUUUGUUGUGCACAACUAAAGUGUAAGGUGUUUGUUUUGCUUACUUAAGGUGAACUACUUGCAGAGUCAUGGACUUUCGGAUAUAGAGUUGAGGCUGGAGAAUGUGCAUAUAAGCCCAGAGGAUAGGCAUAUUAAAGUAAAUGCAAGCUUUCCCCCCUCUUAUGUGUUUUUUUAAUUUUAGAUUCUCUGAAUUUAGAAUUAAAUUUGAUAUAUAUAGAAUAAGGAAAGAAAUUCUUUAAGGAGAAUGGCAUUUGAGGAAAACUCUUGUUGAUUUGUGCUUUCUGAUAUGACAACACUUGAUGCACAACAAUUUCAGUUUAUCUAUUGAAGUCAAAUUUUAUUUCUGGUAUUCUGCUUUGAAAGUUUGGUACCUCUUCAACAGCAUUGAAUAAUGGGAAAUUUUUGUGGUUCUAGACUUAUGGUUGAGGAAAGGUUUAUAAGCACAAAUAUUGAGGAACGAAACAAGACAUGAAUAAAUCAGCACCAUUGAAUUAGUGCACCUCCCACACAUGAUUGCAUUUGACAUGAGGUAUGAAUAGAUAGAUAGACCUAAUAGUGUAUCCAGUUAGCGCUGCUAGCAGAGCUACUGAUGUCCUGUAGAUAGCAAUUGCGUACAAACUGUAGAUAGAAAUUGCUGUCGGGAGUGCAAGUAGCUGUUGUGUUCCUGCUCGUGUAAUUUGUACAGUCGAUUAAUUGAAGAAGAUCAACCUUCUCUAAAUGCAGUGCGGCCUGAUGUCUGAGUGGCUUGUCAAAUGUUGCAAUGUUAUAAAGCUUUAUUUGAAAAAUGAUUCUAAACCUUAAUAAGAAGACAGCCAGAGGUAGUCAAGAUGACACCAAACAGACUAUAAAACCAUCAGCUUCUGCUUCGGUACGUUCAUGCUCAAUCGUUUUUGCAGCCACGAACCAUUCUCUAGAUUCCGACCGACCAAAAAUGAUGCUAUGGCUAUUACCAGUCGAACACACACCUCUAAGAUCUAUUGCUCAUGUCAAUCCAAUUAUAACCAGAGCGUCAAGAUUAAAUGUCAUGUAGUCUUUAUUUCACUUGUGAUGAUGGCUUUCUUAGUCAUGAUUAUAGCUGUUAAACUCUACGUACCUUGCUUUGUUGAUUGAUUCGGAAAAUUAGGCUGGGUUUUUUUUUUAAUUGAAUUUGAUAACAUAUUGUUGGACAAAUCAUUUCAAUAUGGUCGGAAUUUUAGUGAUCCGUUUGGAGCUAAUCGGAUAAAAAAUUGACUCGAGGGUGACCCGCUGACCCAUAAAUUGGAUAGUCUCUGGAUUUUGUUUAACAGUUAAGAUCAUUAUAAUUGUCGAGAUUCGCCUCCAAAAAAAUGUCAUCCCUCCGAGAUAUUAUGGAGACCCAAUUUUGGAUGAAAAACUAACAGAUGUGAAGUAUCAAAUCAUCGCAAUGAGAAUCAUAAGACUAUUUUUGUAAAAACACUAAUGUCAUUACAUCUGAUGGAAAUAUAUCUUUUAAGAGUCUAGGGCCGAGAUGUAAUAAUGCAUGUGGUACGGCCUGAUGGUGGAUUUGUUUUGCAGGCGCCCACCAUUCUCACCAUCACCUUGACUCUAGCGCCACUGUAAGCCAAUAAAAGAAAUGAACCGCACGAGCGCCGUUGUUUAUAGUUUUGUGGACGAGGACUCCCUGAUCGAACCACCAUUAAUGCUCUAUGAUUAUAUCAAAAUUCUACGUCGAUAGGAAGUUGAGGAGGAUUCAGGUAAUUUAUAAACCCUAGCUAUAUAUUAUCUCUCUAUUUCAAGAGGUGUAAUUUCAAGAUCAAACCCAUUUUGAUAUCAUAAUUUUAAACAUGAAAUAAUACCUCUUAUAGAGGCAAUCACGCAACGGAUUUAAGCCAACAUCGUUACUUUCUUUCGUCAAGAUGCCAAAUAUGCAAAAUAAUUCUCAUUUCAUAUGCAAGAGAAGUGGCCUCGCGAGCUACGGCCUAUUGCGUUAUUCAGAGAUCAGUGAUUCCAUAUUCUUGAAAGAAAGGUGCAAAAGGAACAUCUUGAGAGACCUUAGCAGAUGGGAUGGCUUUUGAAAGUUAAACAUACUAAUUGCAGAGUAGAAUUACGACUGAGGAAACUUAGUAGAGUAGAUAAAAUUACGACUGAGGAGAAGUAAAAUGCAAAAGUACAGAAAGGGACUCGAUGCAUGAAACCGACACUAUUAUUUGCUAGCUUGACUUACAGAGCUAUUAACUAGGGAAAUGGACUAGAUCCGUGCGUGGCCAAAUGUAACACCAAAGAUCUUGAUUGCCUUUUCAGCACGAACCUUGUAAGAGAUUGUUGCAGUAGCUCGGUUCCUAUGUUUAAUAAACCUGACCUUGCCACCAGCUUGUAGCUUCUUGCUCUUAACGAAUGCAACCCAACCUCUUGUGAGGACUGGCUUCGGGUACUGUCCUGUCUUGCGGAUGGAGCAUUGAAAGGUCCAGGCUUUGCCUUUCUCGUCUGUAGCUUCAAAGGUGACGCAAUGGCUGCCUGGUUUGAAAGGUGGAAGAGACCUGAGAAAACUGAUAGGAACUGACAGCCUCUUCUUAGUAUCAGUCUUUCCGAGGAUCUUCUCGAACUCUGCCAUUUUCUAGGACAAGCAAAAGCAAAGCAAAUGAAAUGGGUUUCUUCUUGCUUGUGGGAGCUUUCAAUGUGCUUAUUUAUACCAGGUUUUUCUCCAUCAACGUGAUCUAUCUUUUCUCCAUCGCGCGAUGGGAAGUGAUGUAUACUUUCCAUCGCGCGAGGCGAUCUAUUUUUUCUCCAUCGCGCGAUGGAAAGUGAUGUAUACUUUCCAUCGCGCGAUCUAUUCUUUCCAUCGCGCGAUGCGAUCUAUUUCGGUGCAAGUAAGUCGUGCGAUCUCUCGGUAGAUCGAAAGGACAAAAGAAAAGGCCACUGAAGAAUGUUUUGUAAGGUAAGAAAGAAACAUCCAUGUCUAGUGCUCGCUACAAGCGAGACGAGAAGGGGAGAUGUGCGAAUUUAUUCUUCUUAAUUUAUCUCAUUUUAUAGUUUUAAUCUCUUAAAAAUAAUAUUGAAUUUCGAUUAAUUAAAACAUAAAAUCCUACAAAUAUAUAUAUCAUUUUAUAAAAUUAGUUUUUUUUUUUUUUGAAUGUGUUCGUGCGAAACAAAUUUCACACAGAUUAAAGAAUGAAAAUGGAAUGCAUAUUACGUAUACAAGGAUUAACUCUAUAGCUUAGCUUUUUUUAUUCAAUUGAAUAUUGUGAUGCAUCGAAUUUUACCAAACAUUCAAAAAAAAAAAAGUAAUAAAACAUCGAAUUUUACCAAAAAUCAAUUACGCUAGAGGUUAAUAAAACAACGAAAAGUGGCGUGGCGGAGAUAGAAGUGUGCAAAACAUAAACAAUAACAGGAGGUGGAAUGUAGGAGAUAUUCGGAAAAACAAAAGUUGACUCGAGCCAGGCCCAGGGCUCCGGAUUCCUUCAUGCAUCUCUCACUCUCUUCUCUAUUUCUUCACACUUUCCCCCCUGCAACUAACUCCUCUCUGAAUCAAAAAAAUAUUCUUAGAGUUCUAUAUCGAUUGACGGCGGCGACAACGACGGCGGCUGCAAUAUAUGAGUCGGAUUCUGUUUUCUUGUCGACGAUGAAACUGACUAAACGACUUAGUAGUGGUAGUAUCAUCGGUGCGAGAAGCAGUUUUUCUAGGAGAGAAGUAGGGACUGUGCUGGGGUAUUCGUCGCCGAGCAAGGCCGUGACUCCGUUGGAAUCGGAAGGAGAUGUGUGAUGGAGGAGGAGGAGGGGAGGAGAUGUUAUGAGGUUCAAGAUUUCUGAUUUUAAGGUGCUUGAUCGUGUCAAUAUUGGCCUUGGUGGCUGGGUAAGCCAGAAAACUCUACUUCAAUAUAUUUUUUUAAUCUUUAUUUGUUAAAUAUUGUUAAUUUCGUGUUGAUUUUCGGUUAUUCACACUAAGGAUAGUGUUUAAUGUCCAAAAGUGAUUGUUCUUAGCACUGAUAGUUAUGGCAUGGAUAACUGAAUUGGGGUUUGUUAUAGGCGGUUUUCGAAGCAUAUUGAAUGGAAUCUGAAUUAAUUUGAGAGAGAGGAGGCAUCUAUGAUGACUAUUUUGAUUUGCUUUGCAGUUUUUUGGAGGCCCUCAGGCAUCCAUUUCUGCGUGGACCAAGAUGGCAGGUGGCGUCAUCCAUGGAUAUCAUGAGAUGGGGUCUUCGCCUCGACUGCAGUUUGAAUUACAGAGGAAUACAUUUAUAAGCAGCCCCAGGUGUGUCUACAGCUAGCAUUUCUAAGUUCUCUAUUGUCACUCAGAUGGAUUCAUCGGUUGUUCUUUCAAGCCUGUGCCUUGAGUGAUUAGCUGGAAAUUUUGACAGUUUCAUGUUCUGAGCAUGGAGUAGCGCCACCAUGCAUCCUGAUCAUUUAUCAGAGGCCUUGCGAACCUAGAAAGUACCCUGUUUUUUUAGGGAAGCACAAGUAUGAGAUGGAACAAUUAGUGUUACUAAUUAAUUUCCUGUUACUUGAAAGAUAUCUUAGUGUGCUUCUAUUCCUAUUCGUACUACUAAAUGUUUGCAAUUUGCAUAUAAAUUCAUUAUAUAUCUGGUGUUUAGUAAUUAUCCGCAUUUCCUUUUCCAAAUGCAGUGCCGCCUGAUAUCCAAGUGGCUAGUCAAAUGUUGCAAUGUCAUAAAGCUUUAUUUGGAAAAUGUUCUACCCUUAAUUUGGCUAAACCUUCAUAAGAAGUCAGCCAGAGGUAGUGAAGAUGAUACCAAACAGACUAUAAAACCAUCAGCAGGGGAACAGCUGAAUUCUGCUUUGGGACCCAAGAACCAUUCCGACCUAAAAUGAUGCUAUGGCUAUUACCAGUCGAACACACACCUCUAAGAUUUAUUGCUCGUGUCAAUCCAAUUAUAUCCUAAAUGUCAUGCAGUCUUUAUUUCACUUGUGAUAAUUGCUUUCUUAGUCAUGAUUAUAGCCGUUAAACUCUACCUAGCUUUGUUGAUUGAUUCGGAAAAUCCAAGACAUAGAUUAGGGCUGGGUUUUUUUCUAAGUUAUUGUUACGGACAAAUCAUUUCAAUGUGGUCGGGAUUUUAGUGACCUGUUCGAACUAAUGGGAUCAAUAAAAUAAAAUUAAAAAAAAAAAAUAUUAUUUUAAUAGAAAAAUUGACUCCAGGGGUGACCCGGUUACCCAUAUAUUGGAUAUUCUCUGGAUUAAUUUUGUUUAAUUAAGAUCAUUAUAAUUGUCGAGCUUCGCCUCCUACAAAAUGUCAUCCCUCCGAGAUGUAACAGAGAUCCAAUAUUUUUUAUGAAAAACUAACAGCAUCUCCUCAACACCCAGAUAUGAAGUAUCAAAUUAUCGCAAGGAGAUCAUCAUAAAACUAUUUUUGUAAAAACAUUAAUGCCAUAAAUAUAUGCACGUGGUAGGGCCCGAGGGUGGAUUUGGUCUUCUUCCUUUUGUUUUGGAGGCGCCACUAUUAUUUGCUAGCUUAUUAAUUAGGGAAAUGGACUAGAUCCGUGCACGGCCAAAUGGAGCACCAGAGAUCUUGAUUGCCUUUUCAGCUCGAACUUUGUAAGAGAUUGCUGAAGUAGCUCUGUUCUUACGUUUAGUAAACCUGACCUUGUCACCAACUUGUAGGUUCUUGCACUUAACGAAUGCAACCCAACCUCUUGUGAGGACUGGCUUCGGGUACUGUCCUGUCUUGCGGAUGGAGCAUUGAAAGGGCCAAGCUUCGCCUUUCUCGUCUGUAGCUUCAAAGGUGACGGUAUGGCUGCCUGGUUUGAAAGGUGGAAGAGACCUGAGAAACCUGAUAGGAACUGACAGCCUCUUCUUAGUAUCAGUCUCUCUGAGGAUCUUGGAGAACUCUGCCAUUUUCUAGGACAAGCAAAAGCAAAGCAAAUGAAAUGGGUUUCUUCUUUGCUUGUGGGAGCUUUCCUUUUACUUAUUUAUAGGGUUCGAAUAAUAUAUUAUAUCCCUAAAGGGAAUAUUGGCUUUUCUUUCAUUGUCUUGUCUUUACAGGUUCGAGAUCGCGCGAUGUGGUGUGGAGAUCGCGCGAUCUCAAAGUCACAUCGUUCGAUUCCCACAUCGUGCGAUCUCCAAACCACAUCGCGCGAUCUCCAACAUGUAAAGGCAACGGCUUGGACUCUGAAUUCAUGUCUCGCCAUUAUAUUAAAAAAAAUACUAAUAAAAGAUAGAAUUUUAACCAAAAAUCGAUUAUUAAUUACAACCAUUUAGCUUUCGAACGCAUAUUAUCUAUAACUAGUACAUAGUUUAAUGACAAAACUUAGAUUAAUUGACAUAUAUAUAUAAUACUUUAUAAUAUAGUAUUUAUCUCUUUCUCAAACACUCACGCACAUUCAUGUCUUAACAUGUUAAACUCUAAUUCUCCUUUGACCGUUCUAUAAGCUUUGAUUUGAUUUUCUUCGGUCAACAAACAUGGAAUAUCUCUUGGAAAAACAUCGCACGACACAGCUGAAAAAGAACCCCACAUCGCGCGAUUCCCAUGUAUCUUAGUGAAGCCGCUGCAUCCGAGUCAACACUUGUUGACCAUCAAGUGCCACUCGCUGUAAAUAUAUAUAAAAAAAUAAUCUAAAUUAUAUAUUAAAACUCAUUUAAUAAUUUAAAUUUUUAUAUUAAGAUAGUUUUUUAAUAUGAUAUCAGAGCCUUGUUGACCAAGUAGAUAAGAUCAAUUCAAUAACUUAAACUAUUCGAUAAGGUUCUAAGGCUUCGUUUGUUUGCUGGAAAGUAGUUUUUUUUUGGAAAGUGAAUUCCAGGAAAAGCGAAUUCCAAAAAAAUGAAUUCCUUGAAAGUAUUUUUCGAUGUUUGAUAGUGUAAUGAAAAAUAAGUUGGAAAACACUUUCCAGUGUUUGGUUAUGUUAUGGAAAAUGAGCUGGAAAAUAACUUAUUAAUAUUUUAUUUUUCUCAAAUUUAUUAAAAUAAUGAGGAACAAAUCUUAAAAAUUAAAAAGUUGAAUGAGAAUGAAAUUGAAAAAAAAAUAUAAUUUCAUAAAUUAUCUCAAAUAAAAUAAAUAAUAAUCAAAAUAAUAGAGAUCAAAUCUAAAAAAUUAAAACAAAAAUGAAAGAUGAAGAAAUUAAAAUAAUAAUAAUCAACAUUUCAUAAAUUAUUUCAAAUAAAAUAAGUAACAAUCAAAAGAAUGAAUACCAAAUUUGAUAGAUAAAAAAUUUCAAUAAAAAAAUGAUAAGAAAAAAGCAAAUAGCAAUUAUAAAAAUAAGGAUCAAAGUUAAUAUAAAAAUAAAAUUUUAAGAGAUGAAAUUGAAAAAUAAAUAUUCAAAAUAAAAUAUAUAUAGCAAUCAAAAGUUUGAGGAUCAAAUUUGAUAUAAUUAGCAAAUAAUGAUAUUUUAAAAUUUUUCAUAACUUCCCGAAAGUGUUUUCCCCCCAAAUUUUUCAGGAAAACACUUUCCUGAAAACUAAGCCAAAUUUUUCUUUUACUGGAGAGUGUUUUCCAUUGACUAACUUUCCUACUGACAAACAAGCACAAGAAAGUUUGGAAAGUGAUUUCCCAGAAACCACUUUCCAGAAAACAAACAUAGCUAAAGGGAAAACACUUUCCUGAAAACGAAGUCAAAUUUUUCUUUGACUAAAAUUGACUGGAAAGUGUUUUUCGUUGACCAACUUUUCUAAUGACAAACAAACACAAGAAAGUUUGGAAAAUGGUUUCCCGGAAACUACUUUCCGGGAAACAAACAUGGCCUUCAUUUGUUUGCAGGAAAGUGAAUUCCUUUUGGAAAGUGAAUUCCGGGGAAAGUGAAUUCCAGGAAAGUAUUUUCCGAUGUUUGGUAGUGUUAUGAAAAAUGAACUGGAAAACACUUUCCAGUGUUUGGUUGUAUUAUGGAAAAUGAACUGGAAAAUAAUUUAUUAAUGAAUUAAUUUUUUUUUCAAAUUUAUCUAAUAUAUAUAAAAUAUUUAAUAUAAAAUAUUUAAUCACUUACAAUAAAAAAAUGAAAUCUAAAAUGUAUAAUGAUGAAUUUUUUUUUAUUAUAUCCUAUAUUCAUACAUAGCUUAUUUUAUAAAAUAUAACUAUAUAUAUCAUAUCAUAUUAUAGAGAAAUAACCUUGUGAAAUAUUUUUUAUUAUUCCAUGAAACCAUUUAUAAUUCCAUUACGUACGAAAUACAUCCGACAAAAAAUAUAGUUUUAAUAAUAUUUUUAGCAUGUAAUAAAAUUGGAUAAAAUAUUAAGGUAUAAAAUUCACUCUAAACUAGUUUUUUUUUUAAUGUUAAAAAAAUAGCACACUUAGAAAAAAAAAAAAAAAAAAAAGGUUCCCGCAUGCAAGUGAACAGUGCAAGAGAAUUGCACUGUUCACUAUUUUUCAGUUAACAAUAUACGCAAUACACUGUUCAUGUUAGACCCACCUCUAGCCACUGUCUUUAUGAACGGAAAAAAACGAAAAAGUGUUUUCCUUUCUUUAACAAAGAAAAACACUUUCCUUUAGCAAUGUUAUAAUAUUUUCAUUGACUGAAUUCAUUUUUCUUUGAGUAUUUUUUCUUGUUGUCACCAAAUAUUGGAAAAGCAGGAAAGUGAAUUCCAGGAAUUCACUUUCCUGCAAUCAAACACGGCUAUAACACACCUUUUCAAGUGAAAGCUCUUUUAGGUUUGAAAUUUACAUAGAUCAACACUACCAUAUUCUUGAUUUUUAUUAAAUAAAUAGAGCUAAUAAGAUUCGAACUCGUGACUAUUUGAUCAUUAAAGCUAUAAUAUUAUGUCAAAAAACCAUCUCAACCCAAUAGCCUAGCUGUUAAAUAAAGUUUAAGAUAUAAUUUAUAUUAUUUUCUAACAUAUUUCAUAUAUUUUAAAUAAAAAAAAUUAUCAAAAAAAAAUAUAAUGAAAAGAGAGGCUAGAGUCACCUCAAAACCCCUAUUACACAAAAUGAAUUGAUUUUACAAAGUUACAUGACGCAGUAUAUAGAAAAAUAUAUGAGAUAAGGGUUUCUUAAGUUUUAAAUUAUAUCCCUAAACUCUCUCUAUAUAUAAACUUUGAUUGUAUAAAUUUUGAAUGCCUAUAAUAUGAAAUCUAAUAAUUUAUUCUGAAAAAAUAAUGAAAACCAGCCAAGUUAAUAAAACAUAAAUCAAAUAAAAUUUUGAAGUUUAGUAAAAAUUGAAUAAGAAAAAAAAUAAAAAUAAAAUAUUUUUUAAAUUUAAUUUAGAUAUAAAAAUGAUUUCAUUUUGAUUAUAGUAAAUUGUUUCAUUAUAGAACUGGACAUGUAGAAUUUAUUGACAAAGUUUUAGUUUGAUGGAUGUAUUUGGGAUCAUGAUAGAUAUUGCAAUUUAAGGUGUUUUUUUUUAGAAAUACAUUAAAAUAUAUAUAUUUAAAAAUAUAUAUAUAUAUAUAUAUAUUAAAAAUCAGAUGUCAAAACCAUCUAAAUAUAUAUAAAAAAAUUUUAAUUUUUUUUUGAUCAAACAGUGUCUUAACUAUACUGUCGAUCUCCCCUUAACAAUUCAAUUAAAAACGAUUUUCGUACACACUUAAGUCCCUGAUCUCUUCUCUCAUCGGCAUAUUUAUUUUCUUUGUUUUCGCAUGACAGAUGAAAAAAACAACAUGAAAGAGAAUACUCAUCGUGCGAAAUCGCACGAUAAGGCCCUGUACGAGAUAUUUCAUGUAUCUUAGCUUUUUGUGUUUUAUUUUUUUGUAUUUAUAACUGUGUUAAGAUAUAUUUUAAAGAGGGCUUCGUGGACAUAUCUUAUAACAGAUUGCAAUUUCUUCGGGCAUCUAUCAUGUGAUUUAUUCUAGUAAUGCAAUUUAAAAUUUUACUUUAACCAUGUUUGGGAUUAUAGAUUUUUUUAAAAAAUUAACUCAUUGAUGAGAUGGAGUUUAAUAAUUAUUAAGACAUGGCGUAAAUAAUUUUCAAUAAAAAUUAACUCAUUGAUAAUUAUAUGAAUCAGGAUGGAAUUAUCUUCAGAAUUUUUCUUUUUGUAUGUGAACAUGAACAUUUCUGGGCACAUGGUAGUGGAAAAAGGAAGGGCCACUUGUGAUUCCUAGGAGCCAUCUUGAUGACGACAAGUCAAAACACAUGAGAAUCUUUUGUUGGAUGGGACCCUCUAGUGACGGAUUGGUAGCUUAAGUUGCUUAAUACGCAAGGGUCAUGAGGCAUAUUUUUCAAUAAAUUUUACGGUUUUAUAUAUUAUUUUGGGAUUGUAAAGAAUAUAUAAAUAUUUUUAUAUCAAAAUACAAUUUAUGUCGCAGUGUGAUUACUCUUACUUUUUAAAUAAUUUUUUAUAUUAAAAUAUAUGUUAUUGAUAUUUUUUAUUUUUUAAAAAUUAUUUUUGAUAUUGACAUAUCAAAAUAAUUUGAAAACAUCUAAAAAAUAUUAAUUUAAAAUUAAUAAAAAAAAUUAAACUUUUUUUAAAAUACUUUUAAAACACAGGUGAACCUAAACUCCAUGGAAUCUAUUAUAAAAUGUAAUUAUUAUUAUUUUUUGUUAUUAACUUAGAUAUCCAGUCAGCUUGUGCACACUUCGACUGAUCGUAUGAGUCCUUAAAUUAAUGACCAUGUAAAUUUUCAGUGACCUUGAAAUUUGUGAGACUCAAACUAGCGACUUCUAAAAUUCAAACUCAUAAUCUAAUCAGUUCAAUUACAUCUUUAAUAUUUUUUUUUUCAUAUACUAUUGGGGGAUGCUGAGGGCAAAAUAUAAUUGUUAUCUAAUCCAAACACGCGUGUCGUGAGUAUCUUAUUGGGAUUGUAUUAUAAAUAGAAUUUGUUUAAAAUUUAAAUUUUUUUAAAAAUAAAUUGUUUUAUUGUGAUAAUAUCAAAAAUAACUUUUAAAAACUAAAAAAAUAUUAUUUUAAUAUAUUUUUAAAUAAAAAAAUAUUUUAAAAAAUAAUUAUUAUUACACAUAUUAAGUUAUUCUAAUAAAUAUGUUAAAAUUAUAUUUAUCUAGUAGCUUUUUAUUAUAACUCCACAAAUAAGUUUAUUGGGUUUUGGAAACCAUGUUCUACCUAACAGCAAGAGCUCUCAUUAAUUCCGUGUCGAAGGGAAACUUGACUCACCAACAAAACGCGAUAACCAAUACAAACAAGCCACAUCACCUGUUUUGCAAAAAGAGAAGACGUGACAUCUAUUUUUUAUCCAAACUCGAAGUAUAAAUUUGGAAUGAACACGCGAGUCUCAAGAGUUUGAGCAUUAUUAAAAAUCUAAAAUGAAAGUGAAAAAAGAGGCAGACAAAAAGGUUCCUUUCAACGUUAAAAAAAGAUGAUGUGACAUCUAUUUUUUUUAGUUUAAAGUAUAAUUAUUAAAAAUGGCUAGAGCCAGCUCGGCCUUUCAGAAUCUUUAUAUCCCAAUUCUGUAUUUCUAUCAUUGACGAGGUAUUUACAUUUUCGACAAGAAUACAUGUAUUUUUUUUUUAUGGGUAAGGGCACAGGCGGAGGCAUGGUAAAGGCUGAGGUAGGCUUUAGCCCAGGUCAAGAUUUUAUCAAUAUUUUUAAUUAGUUUUAUGUAAAAAAAAUUUAUAAUUCUUAAUUAAGUUAUCAAAAAAAUCUGAAAAUUUGCGUGGAGCCUUCUAAUAUGAUGUUUUAGCUUAGGUUAAAAUUUUAAAAAUUUUGAAGAAAUUUAGAAAUUUGAUGAAAAAUCACAAUUUGAUCAAUUUUACGUUAUUGGACGUAAUUUUCAAUCCGACCAUCAGAUGAAGUUGAAAAUUUACGAGUGAUCUUAAAAUAUAUUGAAUAAAAUCUAGUUAAGAUUUUAGGAUGAACGGAACUUGAUAGUGCUAACAAAAAAAAGGAUCGUCAAAUAAAAGCAAAAUGACUCAUUAAGAGUUCAAUGGUUAUUUGCCAUUAAAAAAUAAAAUAAAUCAGCUCUUCCUUCCUUUUAUAUGUUGCCAACUGAGCAGAAUCUGAAUAGAAUAAGAAAGAAAAGAAAAGGUGAGAGAAAAAUAGAAAAAAAUAAGAGAAAAACAUAAAAAAAUUCCUAGAAAAAAAAUAAGAAGUAAGAGAACAACCUUGUAAACUUACAAAGUUCAACUUAUAAAACAUUAAUCUAGGGAAGAAUCAAGUGAAGAAAGAAGAAAUUAAAAGAGAGAAAAAAAUUAAUUACUUUGUUUUCCAGUUGACAUGAGAUUGUUAUUUUAUCUCGGUUGAGGGGUUAUUACAAUAUCGAUUCAGAUUCGAUUAUAGAUGAAUUAUAUUCCACAAAACAUUGAAGGAUGUAACUUUAAUACUGAUUUUAUUUUUACUUUCACUUUAAUUUUAUUUAUUUUUUUAUAUUUUGGAUAGUGUAUUUAAAUUAAAACUUUAUUAUUAAUUUCAAAAAUUCAUGUACAUAAAUUAACAAUCAAUCUUAAAAAUAUUUAUAUAUUUAUUUAGUAGCCCAGAACAAAAACAAUUUCUGGCUCCGCCGUUGGGUAAGGGAUAUCAAUUGAUGAACUAAUGCAUUCAGAAAUAACAUACAAAAUCUUUAAAAGAAAUAUAAAAAAAAAUCUAAUUUAUAAUUUUAUCAUUGUUUAUUUCUUUUUGCUUUUAAAAGAGGUUUAACUCCUUAAAUAAACCUAAAAAAAAACUUAAAUAAACUAUGAAACUUGAAAAUAAAAAAAGCAAUAAAAAUCAUAAACAAAUUAGAAAAAAUAAAAUUAUAAAAUAUAAUAUUUAUUUACCUAAACUUAAAAAUAAAAAUAAUUAGAAAAAAAUAAUUUCACUAAAAAAACUUAAACAGACAAUAAAAAAAAUAAAAUUUUUUAUUACAAGUUAAAAUCCAUGAAAACCAAGAAUACCAUUACGAGGAGACUCUAAAAAUACACAAUUUUAUUAAUUCCAUGUCUCAAUACUAUUACGAGUUUACGACACUUUAUAUAUAUAAAAAAAAACCCGUAGAAAACCUGUUAAUAUUGAAUAAAAAAAUAAAGUAAAAAACCCCAACCCCUUCAAACAAGAAAACAAAACUCGUGCAUCAUUAAUUUUUUUUAUUAUUAGACCAUCAUUUCCAAAUUUAUAUAUAUCAUGAACAACUCAAAUGAUGGCAUUUUCUAAUAAAUUAAGGCUAAUAACGCUCAGAUUUCUUUAAUGAUCGCUCUAAAAUCAUCUUCUUCAAUUUUUCUGGAUGUGUUAUUACAUGUUUCUGAAAGAGCUGGCCCCGAGCUGAUUUAUGACGACAUACCUAUGCAGCAUACAUAGAACUACAAUACAAUGAACUCAUACCAUUCCAUGGACAAAUCAAGGAAAAACCCAGAGCCUGCAGAAACCAAGCAACAUGAUAAAAUCAGGCCUCGUCUUUGUUGAUGAAAGAAGCGAUUCUCUUAAGCAAAGCCACAGCAUUCUCGCAGGUAGGAUCGUUCAAAUGAAACACAUGUUCAUCGUCUUUGCCCUCCAUAAUCUCCGCCGCACCUUCCCACCCACCCUUGCUUAACCUCUCAUAAUAGUGCCAUCCUCUUUCCCUCAAGAAAUCCUUCCCGCCAAUAAUAACAAGCAGCCUGUCGCCCCCCAGGCUAUCCAAUCUUGGAUCAACAAGUGGAUCAAUCAGAGGGUCAUCCAGGCCACUUGAUGUAGGGCAUACAAAAUUCCAUAUAGCAUCGACCCUCGAUCUUGAUUCCAAAUUCUCACCCUCUGUACCGAUGGGUUCUUUGCCCCAGAAAUAUGGAUGUACUAAGAUAACACCUGUGAGGUCAAUACCAGACAGUUUUUCUUGACCGUACCUCAUAGCAGCUUGGUGUGCUAGGUUAGCACCAGCACUAUCUCCGGCAAGAAAAACCCGACCGAAAUCAGCUUGAGAGUUUAGCCACUCCUCAGGGCCGUCUCCGUUGACAUGAGAGGCAACCCAUUUAAGUGCUGUCCAUGAAUCGUCAUAUGCAAUGGGAAGAGGGUGCUCCGGGGCCAAUCUAUAAUCAACAGAGAUUGCUAUAACGUUGGACACCGCAACUAGAUUGUUAAGGUGAUCAUGGUAACGAAAAUUGAAGGGGCUUUCAAUGCAAAAGCCACCGCCAUGAUAGUAAACUAGGACUGGGAGUUUUUUAUCAGGGUUGGUGUUAUGUGGUCGGUAAAGUCUAGAAGAGAGAUUUAACUCCGGUGAAUAGACUGCAUCUUUAGACAGGACGUUUGUUUUGGGGUCUACUCCAGAAGGGACGAUGUCGGUGCCGCUGAGUCUCUCUACGUGGCCAUCUUUGUAAAUGCGAAGGAAGGGAGAGUAAUCGUAGGCAACUUCAGGUAUGGUUGAAUCCAUGGAAAGACGGGAACGAAUCAAAAAAGGGUAGUUCUUGCUUGUUGUGGAUCUAUACGAGAGGAGAGGACGGGAAGAAGCAAACGGCUGAAAACCACUUGUUAGAGAAGGGCAAAGGGAUAAGGAGAUGCACAUGAUUGGUCAGGAAUUGUAUGAGAGAGGGAGCCCUCGAUUAUUGCGCUUUUAUAAAUAAGGAUAGACGUUGCAGGUGUUUCGGAUUUCUUUUGCUAUAUGGUUUUUUUAUUUAAUAAAAUAAAUUGUAAGAUACAUGAAGCUCUAAUAAACAACUAAAAAGAGAAGCUAUCUUUUUUAUAAUAAUAAAAAAAUGAACAUGUAUAUAAAUAUUUUUUAUAAAAUAAAUUUUUUUUUUUUUGAAAAAAUCCAAGGAAUGAAAUAAGACAUAGUAAAAAGUAUCCAUUAUACUAGUAAGAGUAUUCGAGUCCAAACAAAGAAAUCUAACGCAUCGUCCCAUCCCAUUGUAUUAUAUUUUUUUUCUAUAUAAUACAUCACAUUACAUUAAGAAAAUAUAUAAAAAAAAUAUUGAAGCAUUAACCUAUAAACAUCACAAAUUGAAAAUUUACUAUUAUUUUUUUUUAUUUUUAAUUAUUUUUUACAUUUUAAAAUUAUUUUAAUAUUGAAAAUAUUUUUUUAAAAAAAAUUAUUUCAAUAUAUUUCUAAUUAAAAAUAUUUUUUUUAAAAAAAUUAUUUCAAUAUAUUUCUAAUUAAAAAUAUUUUAUAAAGUAACUGCUAUUAAUAAAUUAGCUACGAAUCUUUCCACAGUGGACUAGUCAUUACUACCUAGAUGCAUUUGAGUGUUUUGGGUUUGUAGCAAAGUUAUAUAAAAAAAAUUAAUAAUAAAAAAAAUGUAUUUAUAAAAUACAUAAUUAAUCAAGUCGUCUGCCACACUUUUAAGUAAAACAAUUAAUUAAAGAGUUUAGGAGCCAUGGUGCCACCUCUCUCUCUCUCACACACACAUUUAUGGUGCUAGACAGCUCAACCUCCCGUGUUUAAAAUAUGGAUCAGCCCGCAAAGGCCCCAACCUCUUCCACUAAGCAACUGACCACGUGCCACUCCAGUACAAGCCGCUGGUUAGUAAAAGGUGACUUCGACUUGCAAGGAAAGUUAAUAGAUGCAUCAUUCCCUCAUUUAUUAUAGAUAUCAAAUCCGACGUGGCUAAGUAUAUUCCUAGCUUAUUUAGAAUUGCGAUUUGCGAUGAUAGUAAUAAUUUAAAAUAUUUUUUUAUUUAAAAAUAUAUUAAAAUAUUUUUUUAUUUUAAAAAAAUUAUUUUUUAUAUUAACAUAUCAAAACAAACUAAAAUCAUAAUAAAGAUAUCCAGUGCCUCCAAGCGAGAGGAGAAGGGGAAAUGUUCAAAUUUAUUCUUUUCAAUUUAUCUUAUUUUUUAGCUUUAAUCUCUUAAAAAUAAUAUUGAAUUUCAAUUAAUUAAAUCAUAAAAUCCUUCAAAUAUAUCAUUUUAUACUCUCCAAUGAAAAAACUCACAUUUAAUUGAAUAAAAUAUAUAAGUUAAGCUAUCGAGUUAAUCCUUGUAUAUGUAAUAUAUAUGCAUUCCAUUUUCAUUCUUUAAUCUAUGUGAAAUUUGUUGCACACAAACACAUUCAUAUCCCAACAUCGCACAGUCAAGACUCUGAAUUGAUGUGACCAUUAAUUUUUUUUUUAAAAAAAAAAACUAAUAAAACAUCGAAUUUUACCAAAAAUCAAUUACACAAUUUACUUAGGGAGUGUUUGGCUUUGCGUUUCAACCUGUGUUUCGUCAAAUUUCAAAUUUUGUUUUUUUUUUUUGCUAUAAUUGAGUGCGGUUUGUACUUUUUGGAUCGUUUUGAUGUGCUGAUAUCAAAAAUAAUUUUUAAAAAAUAAAAAAAACAUCAUUGGCAUGCUUUUCGGCACGAAAAGCUAUUUGAAAAGCAACCGCUACCACACUGUCAAACACGCUAUUAAUAAAGGUUUCUCCCGGUGGUGUCUUGAGUAUUGAAGAUAUGCAUGCUGCGCUGUUUUUUUUUUUUGUCUAAUUAUAGUUAUAAAGAGAGAAUUAUUUGAUUAGGUAAAAAAAAAAAAUUCUUUAUACUAGUGUCCAUAUAUCAUUAUGUUUUAAAUUUAAUUUUAUAGAAGCUAGAAUUAUUUAUUUAUUUAUUUUAUAUAAAAAAUUUAUCUCACAAUAAUUUAAAUAAUAUAUAUAUAAUUUUCAUUUUAAAACUGCAACUAAUUUUUUUUUUUAAACCGUAAGUGUAUCAUUAUUGUUCUUUAACACACAUUAUCUUUAGCUUUCAAACGCAUAACUAGUACAUAGUUUAAUGAUAAAAAAUUAGAUUAAUUGCUAUUUUUCGUACUGAUAGAUGCUAACUAGGCCGAGCCAAUUUUUGCUUUUUAUAUAGAAAAACUAGUGAAAUGUUGUUGUUCAUGUAAUUAAAUUACAUAAAAUGAUUUGAUUUUACAAAGUUUAUGUGUAACGCAAUAAUAUAUCAAUGUGUUAUUUACCUAAAAAUUAUGUUUAAAAUAAGGAAAUAAAGAUUGAGUGAUAAUUCAAUAUCAUUAAACCUAGCCAAGUAUUGAGUUUAAGUAUACAUGACUCUAGCAAACAAUUAUAUCUAGUUUUUUUUUGCUCAACUAAGUGUUGAGCCCAAGUAUAUAUAAGUAUGACGAGCUACCAAAUCUAGUAUUCUUUUGAGCCCAAGUAUAUAUGGGUUUGACGAGAUCCUAUACCCAGCAUCUUUAAGCUCAGCCAAGCGUUGAGCCCAGGCAUGCAUAGGUUAAUUUGAUUAGCCACCACAUCCAAAUAUUUUUAGGCUCAUUCAAGUGUUGAGCCCAAGCAUACAUGAGUCUGGCAAAUUACUAGACCCCGCUUCCUUGAGCUCAACUAAACGCUAAUCCUAAACAUGUAUGGUUUUGGCAAACUACCAAACCUAACAUUCUUGGGCUUAGCAAAUUGUUGAACCUAAGUAAAUGUGGCUCUAACAAUCCUAUAAUGUUUCGUAUUGAAUCACGAGAUUCUGAUAAGCCAAAGAUCUUUUUCCAUGUGAUGAGUCAUGGAUAUUUUUUCUCUAAUGAGUUAGAGAUCUUUUACCCUCUGAUAAGUUAGAGAUCUUUUCCCCCCUUUAACACAUAAAAAAAUAUUUUAAUACUAUCAGAAAAGAAGGACUUUGAGGUCCUCCCCUCGAUAAAAAAAUAAAAAUCAUGAGCUAUAAAGAUCUAUUGAAUCUUAAGAAAAAAAGAAUCAUUCUUUUUCUAGCUGGUAGAAUUUUUAACAUAUAUACUUUCAUAUUCUAUCUCUCUAAUAGAUUUAGGCUUUUUCUCUAAAAAAAUAUAUUUAAAUACCAGAGAAUCUCUAAAUCUAUAUAUAGAAAUAUAUUUUAUAGGUAUCAGUAACUGAUCACUUUGCCUUACCAGACAUCAGAUAUCAGCUACUAGUCACCUUGGUCAGAGAGAAGGAAUCAGAUUAUUAAAAGUAAGAAAUUAACUGAUUAUCCAACAUAUAAGCCUUACUAUUAAGCUACUUGAAUUUUCUAAUAUCUCAUUAAUUGACAUUGUCUGUGAAAACUAAUAAAAAAAAACAUCAAUUAUUAUUAUUUGACAAUUGAUUUAUUGGCAUCCUUAAUUAUUGGUAAAAAUAGAAAAUCAAAACACUUUUGUGAUGGGCCAUAUCAUAAUGGAAAGUAAUACUAUCACUAUUAUUUCACAAUUGGUCAUGUCACUUCAAAAACUUCAAAAAUAGAAAAUUAAAAAUCCAAGGAAUGAAACUCAACUGAUUAGAUUCUAGAUUUGUUUUCUAGAGGUUACCAGUUCGAGUCCCACAAACCUCAGAGCCACUGGAGGCUUACAUGAUCUUUAAUUUUAGGACUCGUAAAAUUAAUUGAGAUAAUCACAAACUGAUCUACAUUUUAAAAAAUAUAAAUCAAAACACUUUUGUAAUGACCAUAUCUAUAGUUAUUGACACAUUACCCCACACAAAGUAACUAUCACCCUUAUUCUUUUCUUCUUCUUUUUUUUUUUUUUUUUUUUUUCCUGGGCCACCCAAUCCAACAAACUAAAAUAGAGUACAUCAAACUUAACAUAACUCUUUCCUAGUUAUCGCCGUAGUUUAUUUCAAUCCAAAGGUUACCCAUGAACCAGUUCUUAACCGUACAUAUAGCUGGAUUUAAGAUCAAAGAGGUAAGAAAAUACAAAUUACUAGCACAAAGCUUUUAGGUUGUUUACUUUCCCACGCCCAAAAAAUUUCACCUAGAUCUGAUCUUCAAUUGGAAAAGAGAAAUCAAUUGAGGGUUUUCUUAGGGGAGACAAAUUAUGUUUAAAGAGAGAUUUGUAGUAUUUGUAUUAUAUUAUAUAUGAGGAAAAUUUUAUAUUUUCAUUUAACAUAACUAAUAAGUCAAUUAAAUCUCGAGUAAAAUUAAAAAAGAGUUGAUCUUUAAAUUAUGAAUUUUUCAACUAAAUUCAUUAGACAUUCCGUAUUUAACAUCCUUGAGCAUAACAACCUAUAAUAAUAUAACUAGACACAUGACCUGCGCGAUGCCGUGAGUCCUUUUUUUUUGUAUAAAAAUAUUUAAAAAAACAAAAAUUUAAAAAUCUUGGGUUUUUUUACAAGGCCAUACCUAAGAAUCUUGGGUUUGGUUGCAACGCCUGACCUAAAAGUAAUAUUUAUAAUAUUAAUAAUAAAAUUAAACUUGCAUGACUAAAGUUUAAGUAAGCCUGACUGCAAUACCGAACCCAAGAAUAUUGGAUGUGGGUCUGGCUAUAAGGUCGUGUCAUAAAAGUAUAAUAAUUAAAUAGAUUAAUUAAAAAAAACAAAGAAAAAAAAUCAACAGGAAGGAAAAAACUAAUGAAGAAAAAGAAAAAAAAAUGAAUUAAUUGGGUUAACCCUUUAAACCAGGUUAUCCCGUAAAACCUGGGAUUCGCGUCAUGAAAGUUUGAUAACUAAAUAGAAAAAAAUGACGGGUUUACCCAGAAUUAACUGGGUUAACCCAUCAAACCAAGUUAACCCAUCAAGCCCAGGAUACGUGUCAUGAAAGUAUGAAAGUCUGAUAAUUAAAUAGAAAGAAAAUUAACUUUAACAAACUAAACUAAAUGAAAAAAAUAACUCGUCAAAUCAGGUUAACCCAUCAAACCCGAGAUCCGUAUCAUGAAAAUCUGAUAACUAAAUAAAAAAUUUAACAUUAACAAACUAAAUCAAACAAAAAAAUUUAAAAAGAAAAAAAAGCUAAUAUUGUAGUAAUUCAUAGUGUUUUUUUUUUUUUAAAAAAGCUACAAAGUUAAGUUCUCAACCAGAUCAAUAUAAAAAAAAACGACAAAGACUAUUUUUUUUUAUAAAAAAAAUCAAUUUUGGGUAAAAUAAAUGAAAAAAAACAUGUAAAUAAAAGGAAACAAAAGCGAAAAAAAAACACGUGGGGAAAGCUACAAUGUUUUAAAUAAACAAAAAAACUAAAUUUUCAACCAGUUUAAUAAUAAAAAAAAUCAACAAAAAUAAUUCUGAAAAAAAAUAUAUGUAAAAAUUGACAAUUUUAGAAAAAAAAAAAACAUGUGGGGAAAGCUAAAGUUAGAUUAUCAUUCAACUCAAUAUUGAAAAAAUAAAUUCGAUAAAGAUAAUUUUUUUAAAAAAUAUGUGGGGAAACACUGCAAUAAAACAAAAAUUAUGUAGGGAAAACAAUGUAACAAUCCAUAUUAUUUUUUAAAAAAAUUAUAAAGCUAAAUUCUCAACCAACUUAAUAUAAAAAAAACAAUGUAUAAGAAUAUUAUAGCAAUUCAUAAUGUUUUAAAGAAAAAAAUUACAUAAUUAAAUUUUUAAUCAGCUUAAUAUUUUAAAAAAAUUAGUAAAGAUAAUUUUAAAAAAUAAUAAUAAAAAAGAAAUGUAAAAAAAAAAAAACAAAAGCAAAACAAAAAACUGUUACAGUAAAAAAAACACUGCUACAGAAAAAAACAAAAGCAAAUAAUAAAAAAAAAACUGCUACAGCGUUUUAGAGUUCUUUAAUUAUUUUUUGGGAAACAACGAAAAGUGGCGUGGCGGAGAUAGGAGUGUGCACCGUACGCAAAACAUAAAAAAUAACAGGAGGUGAAAUGUAGGAGAUAUUCGGAAAAACAAAAGUUGACACGAGCCUCGCCCAGGGCUCCCAGGGCUCCGGAUUCCUUCACGCAUCUCUCACUCUCUUCUCUAUUUCUUCACACUUUCCUCUCCUUCCUUCUGCUAACUAACUCCUCUCUGAAUCAAAAAAUAUUCUUAGAGUUCUAACGGAUUGAUCGAUUGACGACGGCGACAACGACGGUGGCCGCAAUAUAUGGAGUCGGAUUAUGUCCUUUUUCUGAUAAUUUGUCGACGAUGAAACUGACGAAACGACGUGGUAAUGGUAGUAUCAUCGGUGCGAGAAGCAGUUUUUCUAGGAGAGAAGUAGGGACUGUGCUGGGGUGUUCGUCGCCGAGUAAGGCCGUGACACCGUUGGAAUCGGUAGGAGAUGGAAGGAUGUGUGAUUGAGGAGGAGGAGGAGAUGUUAUGAGGUUCAAGAUUUCUGAUUUUAAGGUGCUUGAUCGUGUCAGUAUUGGCCUUGGUGGCUGGGUAAGCCAGAAAACUCUACUUCAAUUUUUUUUAAAAUCUUUAUUUGUUAAAUAUUGUUAAUUUCGUUGUGAUUUUCGGUUAUUAACACUAAGGAUAGUGCUUAAUGUCCAAAAGUGAUUGUUCUUACUUCUUAGUACUGCUAAUUAUGCCAUGGAUAACUGAAUUGGGGUUUUUCUAGGCGGAUGAGGUGGUUUUUGAAGCAAUAGUGAAGGAUUCUAAUAGGUUAGCUUUCUUUUCUUAUUUGAUUUUUUGAUAUUGUGUGAUUAUUGGAGGUGAUGAGUAUAAUGUGGAAUUGCAGCCCUUUGUAUAACAUUAAAGUUGUGCUUAGGAAACUUGUCAGUACUCAAGCAAAACGUAGAGGAAUGCGAGCAAUAGAGGUUUGGGGCUUUGUUUUGCAGUUUUGUUUAUUUGGUAUUUGAGGUUUUGAAUAUUGGUGUAACUUUGGUGUUGUUGAAGUGUUUUUAGGUGAUGAAGAAGCUGGUUCGCCGUAAACUUAUGUACCAUUCUUAUUCGAUGCAAUUUCAUGGUUAUAUUUCUUCACCUUCUAGUGGCCGUGGUUCGUUUACUCUGGCACAUGGGGUAUGUUCUGUUUCUGUGUAAGGUUUUGAUAUUGCGUAUGCAUUAAAUGUUUCGUUGUGUGAAGCCCUGUUGGAGAUUUUAUGUUCUGUUUCUAGGACACCCCUGUUGGAGAUUUUCUGUUUUUAUUGGACAAACCUUCAUUUCUCUGCAUGUUGCGUGUGAAAGCAGUGCUUCCCAUGUUUCAAUUUUUCCAUUUGUGAGUUUAGCGAUGUGAAAGUUUAUCUCUUCCUUUUUAUUUUAUGGCAGUAUCAUGGUAGUUUUUCUUUGAGACAUUGGCUUCAACAAUCAGAUUGGCUUCCUACCUUGGAAGCCAAUCUUGCAUUGGAUGAGGAAUCUGUCAGGAGAAUGGGAGAUGACACGGUUGGAGGACCUGCUGUCUCUCGGCAGUUGCAAAUAACACAGUUUUUCUUUGAAACAUUGGCUUCAACAAUCAGAUUGGCUUCCUACCUUGGAAGCCAAUCUUGCAUUGGAUGAGGAAUCUGUCAGGAGGGUGGGAGAUGACACCGUUGGAGGACCUUCUGUCUCUCGCCAGUUGCAAAUAACACACAUUGAUGAGGGAUCUCUUGAUUGGAGUAUGUAUAUCUUAAUUGUAUUAUUGUAUUAUCUGUGCACAAACAGUUGCCAUUUGUUGUGCACAACAACAGUGUAGGGUGUUUGUUUUGCUUACUUAAGGUGAACUAAUUGCAGAGUCAUGGACUUUCGGUAUAGAGUUGAGGCUGGAGAAUGUGCAUAUAAGCCCAGUGGUUAGGCAUAUUAAAGUAAAUGCAGGCUUUCCCCCCUCUUAUGCUGUUUUUUUAAUUUUAGAUUCUCUGAAUUUAGAAUUAAAUUUGAUAUAUAUAGAAUAAGGAAAGAACUUCUUUAAGGAGAAGGGCAUUUGAGGAAACUCUUGUUGAUUUGUGCUUUCUGAUAUGACAACACUUGAUGCACAACAAUUUCAGUUUAUCUAUUGAAGUCAAAUUUUAUUUCUGGUAUUCUGCUUUGAAAGUUUGGUACCUCUUCAACCGCAUUGAAUAAUGGAAAUUUUGGUGGUUCUAGACUUAUGGUUGAGGAAAGGUUUAUUAGCACAAAUAUUGGGGAACGAAACAAGACAUGAAUAAAUCAGCACCAUUGAAUUAGUGCACCUCCCACACAUGGGUACAACUAUCCCACUGUUUUCAUCUCCAUAACUUCUGCUAUAAAGCACUGCUUCAUUGAUCAAGUUGUGUAACAUGUGGUUUCUUUCUUUAAUUGAUGGCUUACUUUGUGAAACUUCUGAAAUUCCAACUUUUCAGGUAGGGAUACUAGGGAAUGCUGCUGACUUUUAUGAGGAUGGUCCAAAUAGUAGCACACUGGACAACAACAUGGACAGACGGUGGACGAUGAUUGCAUUUGACAUGAGGCAUGCAUAAUAGAUAGACCUAAAAGUGUAUCCAGUUAGCGCUGCUAGCAGAGCUACUCAUGUACUGAAUUCUGUUUCAUCCCUAUUGAAAAGAUGUGUAGGAUUUAUGAUGGCAAAAAUGGUGCUGCGGGAGCUCAUGGAUCCAUUAAUUUUCAUAAAGUUCAAAUCAUUCCUCAUGAAGGUACAACAUGCUAGUCCCUUUUUUCUUCUUUUUUUCCUGUAAAGCUUUUGGAUUAAUCAAUCCAGAACCUGGUGCAUUUUUUGUUGACUUGAAUUCGUCUUUUGAUAAGCUCAAGUUUCUCUUCAUUAAUUUCUACCAGUUUCUUGAAGACCAGACAUUGGCAGUCACUUUAUUUGCUCAACAUGAAAAAAAAUCCUAUAGUAUCAUCAUGCAGUACUCAUCAUGUGUUGGUACCGAUCCUAAUUAGGAAGUUGUACUGGCAUAGUGAGUGUUAACUGUGUUACCAAAUUUCUCUUUUACGGAUGAGUGCAGGGAAAUGAUCCUUCGUGCUUGCAUGAAUUUUUAUUGCAAAUCCUCAGUAGGAAUUCUCCAUCUGGAAUGUUGGACUCCAAGUAAGUAGUGCGAAAGCAAAUUACCAUACUUUAAGCUACACCUUUCACAAUAUCUAUAAAGAUUGUGUUUCGUUUCUUCUAGAUACUAACUGUGGUGCCGGUUGGAACCUUUUAUCCUUGUUAUUGGCAACCAAACCUUCCCAAAGAAUAAGGUAUUCAUCAGUUCAUCUCUUAUUAGACAAUAGUAAAGACAACACGAGGCUAACCAUAUUGAAUGGAAUCUGAAUUAAUUUGAGAGAGAUGAGGCAUCUAUGAUGACUAUUUUGAUUUGCUUUGCAGUUGUUCGGGCAUCCAUUUCUAUGUGGACCAAGAUGGCGGGUGGCGCCAUCCAUGGAUAUCUUCAGAUGGGGUCUUGGCUCAACUGAAGUUCGAUUACGGAGGAAUACAUUUAUAAGCUGCCCCGGGUGCGUCUACAGUUAGCAUUUCUAAGUUCUCUAUUGCCAUUCAGAUGGAUUCAUCGGUUGUGACUCUUUCAAGCCAGUGCCUUGAGUGAUUAGCUGGAAAUUUUGAAAGUUUCAUGUUCUGAGCAUAGAGAAGCGCAACCAUGCAUCUUGAUCAUUUAUCAGAGGAUUUGUGAACCUAGAAAGUACCCUGUUUUUCUAGGGAAGCACAAGUAUGAGAUGCAACAACUAGUGUUACUAAUUAAUUUCCUGUUACUUGAAAGAUAUCUUAGUGUGCUUCAAUUUCUAUUCGUACUGCUAAAUCUUUGCAUGUAAACUCAUUAUAUAUCUGGUGUUGGUUUAUAGCUCGCAAUGGCAUUACAUUGACGAUGUAAACUGAUAGCGUAGUAGGCUUUCCAAUUUUAUCGAAUUGAUGGAGAUGUUGAGUUCUCAUUCAAGGCCAAAUGUUAGUAAUUAUCCGAACAACUUGUUCGUAG
rnacentral:lncRNA from 1 species